AAACCUUCCCUUUUUCACUUAAAAGUGUCUGAAGGUAAUUCAAGCAACCUAGGACCCAGUUCAUUUCCACUUCAUCAUCUUUAUCUGAACCCAAACCCUAGCACCGCCCUAACUUCGUCACCAUCUCCGGUGGCGGCGCCACCCCAAACUGCCUCCAAAAUUACACCGCAUAAUCCUCAGCCCCUCCUCUUCCUAAAUCCCAAAAUAAUUUCCCUCAAAUCCUUCUCCAUCGCCUCAAAUUUCAUAUCUCAGAUCGAAGCCCUAAAACCCCAAAUCGCCUUACCCCAGAUCUUAAACAUACAAGGUUUAGGUCUCUAAGUUUUCGAGUUUCGAGGGUCGAUUUAACCAAAAUCAAUGUUAGUCAUUAGUUCUUUGCAAAGAACAGACGGUUAACAUUAGUUUCGAGUUUAAAUUAAAGCAGCUGGAGUUUCAUCAGGAUAGCCAAUAGGUAUUUUUCUUUUUCUUUCAUUUUACCCAUCUCUGUGGUCGUAUUGUUCCGUUUGUUUUCUAGUUUCUUUUUCCAAUUUUAAAUUUGUUCAUUUGAAUCCAUUUGGGUUAUGUAUUUGCCUUGAUUAGUCGUUAUUCAUGUCAGUAGGUCAAUUCAUUCUUCUUUCUUUCUGUUGUUUCCUUUAAUUAAAUUGGAGCUUUGUUAAUGAUCCCAAUAGGUCUAGUAGGUUCCCUCUCCCCUCCUCUUCUUUUUCUUAGUUAAUCAGUGCUGCUAGAUCCUAAAUGGUUAAAUACAUGUUGCUGUAAAUUUGAAUAUCUUUUGGAUCUUGGUUAUAUCGUUCAUGGCUAUGCUAAUUUGGAAGCCGCCUCUUGGAUUUGUGGUAGUCUAGACUUGGGGUAUUAGAAGCCCAUUUGUUUAGGCCCAGGUUUGGGAAUCAGUUGGCCUACAAUGGUUUAGGCUGGGAAGGUUAAUACUAGGAAUUCAAAGGGUAAUUUAGGGAGUUUGGAUAGAAGGAAUAUGUCUUAACUAACUAGGAAGCUGCUAGAAAAGAGGGUAAUGGGGCUAACUUAACAAACAUAUUAAAAAUAAGGGUCUAAGUUGAAAAAAUAAAAAUUGGGAAAGGAUUAAUUGAUAAAUGGUUGGGUCAUUUCUGCUGCCCUAAGGGUCUUCUAUAAGAGGCUUGUUUUCCUUCAUUGCCAGGGGAGAAUUUAGAGUAUACACGGUUUAGAAACGGUUGAAGAAAUACAAACAUUGAGAGAAUUUGAAAAAAAUCAAAAAGAAAAAUACAAAAAAAAAAAUCACCAUUACUAUUCCAUUGAAGUUGGCCUUUUUCAUUUUUCCUUGGCUCUUAAAUUGCUCCUUAUUUCUGGAUUCCAAAACAUGAAGAGCUGACUGUUGAGCUGCUGUUGGUUGAUGUGUUAAGAUCUGUUGUUUGAUUGCUAACUCCUUGCUGAAUUACUGGUUAUUUUUGUUUGUUUCAGGUAUAUUUCGAACUGUGAAAGUGCCAUAUGAAGUUGGAGCUUCAUUAUGUUAAAUAAAAAUGAGAUUUCCUUCCAGAUUUUGUCUUCUUUAUUUUAACAUUACUUGUAUUAAUUAGUUUGAAAGUCAGUAUUUCUAGUUGUAUUAAGUAAUAGCCUCAACAACCUAUUCCCUAGUAGGAUUCAGUCUUCGAAUGUUCAAACCUAAACCUGUAUAGUGCUCUAUUUUGGACUGUGCUAAACUAUGGUUGUGAGGCUAUCAUCUGAGUUUGAAUAGCUGAAUAUUUGACAUGUUUGAUAAGAAAUAAGUAAGCAUUCAUUAUUUUUUAGAUCUGGAGUCGGACAGGUUUAAAUUCAUGUUAGUAG
rnacentral:lncRNA from 1 species